rnacentral:tRNA from 1 species
GGGCCCGUAGUUUAACCUGGAUAGAAUGAGCGGCUUCGGACCGCUAGACGCCGGUCCAAAUCCGGCCGGGCUCG